GCGCCCGUAGCUCAGGUGGAUAGAGCAUCGGCCUUCUAAGCCGAGGGUCGGGGGUUCGAAUCCCUCCGGGCGCGCCA
rnacentral:tRNA from 1 species